rnacentral:tRNA from 1 species
AGGGGUGUAGCUCAGUGUAGGGUGUUUGCCUGGCAUGCAUAAGGCCCUGAGUUCGAUCCCCAGCACCACAC